CGUUAGCGGCGGACGGGUGAGUAACACGUGGGGUAAACCUACCUAUAAGACUGGGACAACUUCGGGAAACCGGAGCUAAUACCGGAUAAGAUAUCGAACCGCAUGGUUCGAUAGUGAAAGAUGGUUUUGCUAUCACUUAUAGAUGGACCCGCGCCGUAUUAGCUAGUUGGUGAGGUAACGGCUCACCAAGGCAACGAUACGUAGCCGACCUGAGAGGGUGAUCGGCCACACUGGAACUGAGACACGGUCCAGACUCCUACGGGAGGCAGCAGGU
rnacentral:rRNA from 1 species